GGGGGGAGGCCGGUCACUGUCGGAAAAGGGAGAGGGGCGCUGGCAGAUGCGUAACCCUCCACCUGCAGUUUCUUGCCAGUGCUGACUACUGACACCCUGCACCUGGCCUCCCCAGAUACUCAGCAGACAGACCUCGGAGGGAAAGAGCUGCUUGCCUCGGGGCACCGUGGACACUGGACAUUUGACCUGCCAGCAGCAGCCUUGGCCGGGCCUUUGCCCCCAUUACUUCCUCCACAGCCCUCUUCGGAGCUUCUUAGAAACAGGACCCCUUGGCCUUUGUUUUAGGCCCAGCGAAAAGCGGAAAGCUGCCCUGCGCACAGUGAAGCAGAGAUGCUUCCUUGUGCGAGAACCAGGGGCCUGGGAGUAGGCAUGCUUUUUGAUAAACAUCUCUAAAGAUCACAGGGCCCGCCAGUUUCUUUCCGAGAGAGACUGUCAGUUUUCUCCAAAGGAAUACAACACAGCUUGUUUCUGCUGGCGCAGUUCCCAUAGGACCACCUUCAUUGAAUCUUGCAAGGAUGGGCUCUAUACUCUUCCAUCUCGAUGUGGCUUCAGGUUUGCCCUCAGGUAGGCGUAGCGGGAAGUUUACAGACCCGCCAGAUGGAGUUGAAACCAGCUUGAACAAGCAGUUUGAUCUUGGGCAAGUUGUAAAAUGGGACUCACAUACUGUAACUCGGGGAAGAUGACUUGAGGCCUCCCUACAAAGGGCUCCCUAAACAGGAGUUGGACGGGAAACUCCACACCGCCUCUUUAGAUGAAGAUCUUUAAAGAAAGCAAAACCAGCAGUCACAUCUUUCUGCAAGGUGAGAUUUUAACACUGGGGUGCAGUUCCAGGCUGGGGGCUCAGAGGGAUGAAAGGCCCUUAGGAGUGGGCGGAUAAUGGAAUAGGAGAAGGAAGCAUGAGAAAGCUCAGAGUGGAAAACCAGCAGACAAAGGGGAAAACCCAGAGAGCAACAGCAGGAAGCCCCCACUCGUUGUCACUACAGUCCUCAAAGAUCCUCAGGAUGCCUCCCACAAAGCAACAGGAAAGGAAACCACUCAGGCCCCUGGAACUGAGCCUCCCCUUCGAAUCUCUCCCAGCAGGACCUGACUCUGAUUGCUGGCUCUGACUUUGGCUUGUGGGCUGAGGGGCACUUGCCACCCUGGUGAGGAGCCAGGCCCUCCCCCUGCGACCUCUUCACGUAAUUCCAGUUCACCUGUUGUCACUCCUGAUGGAAGCUGCUCUUCGCUGGUGAAAAAGGCCUUUCUGGAAUUGUAGAUUGGAUAAAUUCACUUGGACGGUCCUGUCAUCUCACAAUCAAACUGGCUACUACUCUCCCAAAGCAAGACCCAGCACUAGCCUUUGGCUCUCCUGUAGGGCAAACAGCAGGUCUGUCUAGCAGAGGCGCAGAUCCUGCAUUUGUGCGUCACCAUCAGAAAAGCCCGCUUCACUGACUACGAGAGUUCGGCUAGAUGCUGCUCUGAAGGGACCAACUGUCUCAGAAGCAGAGUGCUGUGGUGGCGAGGGUAGAGAUUGAACAAACUGCUUCUAAAAUUUAGAAAUCCAAGGAAAAACAA
ensembl:lncRNA